CACGUAGGGCGCAAGCGUUGUCCGGAAUCACUGGGCGUAAAGCGCACGUAGGCGGACUCUUAAGUCGGUGGUGAAAUCCUGGAGCUCAACUCCAGAACUGCCUUCGAUACUGAGAGUCUCGAGUCCGGGAGAGGUGAGUGGAACUGCGAGUGUAGAGGUGAAAUUCGUAGAUAUUCGCAAGAACACCAGUGGCGAAGGCGGCUCACUGGCCCGGUACUGACGCUGAGGUGCGAAAGCGUGGGGAGCAAACAGG
rnacentral:rRNA from 1 species